UGUUCUUACUUUAUUUUCUAAUGAGAUGUAUUGAAUGUUUGGUUGAUGAAAUGGUAGGGUAUAUUGAUAAAUGGACAGUUUCCAGGACCUCAGAUUGAAGCUGUCACUAAUGAUAACUUGAUUAUCAGUGUUUUCAAUAGCUUGGAUCAACCUUUUCUGUUUUCUUGAGAGAAAGUGGUGGUUCCCGUGACGAAACCGUACGUAACGUUUGAAGGUGAAGGAAGAGAAGUAACAGUGAUAGAAUGGCAUGAUAGAACGAGUGAUCCUGGUCCCAAUGGACAACAGCUACGGACUUAUAGAACUGCUUCUGUUACCGUUUUCGCUAAUUAUUUCUCUGCAAGAAAUAUCACCUUCAAGGUGUUGCAAAAGAAUGAUGCUAAUGCAUAUAUUUUGCGCUUUAAAAUUUUAAGGUGGCGCAUCUCUUCACACUGGGGUUUCUAUUCCUCAUCGCUUGCAUUGGAAAAGAAUGAGAAAGGAAAAGGGUGCAGAUCCAUCAUUGA